rnacentral:rRNA from 1 species
GAUGAACGCUGGCGGCGUGCCUAAUACAUGCAAGUCGAGCGAACGGACGAGAAGCUUGCUUCUCUGAUGUUAGCGGCGGACGGGUGAGUAACACGUGGAUAACCUACCUAUAAGACUGGGAUAACUUCGGGAAACCGGAGCUAAUACCGGAUGAUAUUUUGAACCGCAUGGUUCAAAAGUGAAAGACGGUCUUGCUGUCACUUAUAGAUGGAUCCGCGCUGCAUUAGCUAGUUGGUAAGGUAACGGCUUACCAAGGCAACGAUGCAUAGCCGACCUGAGAGGGUGAUCGGCCACACUGGAACUGAGACACGGUCCAGACUCCUACGGGAGGCAGCAGUAGGGAAUCUUCCGCAAUGGGCGAAAGCCUGACGGAGCAACGCCGCGUGAGUGAUGAAGGUCUUCGGAUCGUAAAACUCUGUUAUUAGGGAAGAACAUAUGUGUAAGUAACUGUGCCCAUCUUGACGGUACCUAAUCAGAAAGCCCCGGCUAACUACGUG